GCAGCACCCUCGGAAACACAUCCCCAGCGCUGCGGCAUGUCUUGUAGCUGGCCGGAGCACGCCAACUUCAAUGGCAGGGUCAAGAGGAGGCACCAGCACAUCCUGGAGAUGCUUUAGGCUCUUCGCCCCACCUGGCAGCGCUGCCGGCUCUCCUGCGCCCCGAUGCCUCCGCCGUGACAUCCUCUUCAGCCAUACCCACUUAUCGCGGAGAGGGACUAGGGCAGCCCGGCUGCAGGAAAUCGCCACAGCACCAUCAUUUUGUGGAAAUGGUGAUGUUGCUCCUCUACAAUGAUUUGGGAAAAGAGGGUAGCUAACUGGGAGCUGAUCACAGGUACUCCAUGGCACGACGGGGAAGCGUGACCCAGCCUCGGCGCAUGCGAUGCAGCGAGCGUUGGUGUGCAGGAGUUUUGGGGAGCUGAGAUCAAAGCCGUGUCCGAGCCAUGCUUUCCCAGCCAGAUGUGGUUUUCGAUAAGGGAACUGGGCAAUUAUUGCUCCACAGAGUGUAUGUGAAUCAUUAGUAAAUGAUUAUUAAAUCAUUAUUAAAUGUGAAGUCUGAGAAGGUGUGAGGAAGAAUUCACUCCAAGCGGCUCAGCCCCAGCACCAAGGACAUUGCACCUUGAUGUGCAAGAGAGUUUGGAUGGUUCAGCCCACGUGAAGAGGGGCAUCACAAAUAGAAGGACUGUUUCUGCUCCAGGGCAUCCAUCGCUUUUGGGUAAGAAAGGCCAUCGUUGAGGAGAUGCUUGCCCUCCCGGUGUGCAAAAUAGAACGUGAUGAAUCGCAGAAGACCAUCCCCAUGUCCUGGACUGCCAUCCCGUUAUUUCCAGCUCACCGGGGAGGCGAUGACAGCCCUCCGCAGUGGUGGCAGCUGUAGGGUGACAGCAAACCAUGGCGACCACAGCCCCAGCCCUUAGCUGGGUUCUGCACCGAUGCAACGCACAAACCUCAUAGCGAAGGUGUCAGUGGCAACCCCGUUCUGCUUUUUGUUUUUUCUCCAAAAAGAACUGCAAUAGUAAAGUCAAUAAAUAAGCCAAAAUAUCCUCGAGGAACUGUUGUACAGGCUGGAGUGGGGCACAUGCUCCAGCUUUGCCUCCCGGCUGCAGCCUUCACUUCGACCAGACUCUCUAAGGGUGCACGAGCCACCAGCAGAGAAUUAAUUGGGCAAAUUACGAAGCAUUUUGGUUGCUCUGAGCAAAUUAUGGUUCAUCAAGGAAAACUUCCCAGAAACUCCUUUCCCACAGCACUUCUGCAGGGCUGCUCGGCGUGUAGCUGGGCUGUGAGCCGAGAGCUGGGGAACAUCUAAAGCAUGUUUUGGGGGACCCUCUCAUUAAGGAUGGUUUUGAGGUCAGCCUUCCUGGUGGGCUUAUUCAAGCAUGGACCAGGGGCUCUUGUGGCCCCUUGGGACGAGACCCUGCGGAGAUGAUGUCCUCUAUGGAGGUGACCACGGAGCGGGACCGCAGACGUAUGCGAGCCAGAGAACUGAACCCUCUCCAGCGCCGUGGGGCUGGGGAACGUCGGCUCCGGGGUGGAGCGGCUGCCGGCGGAGGUGAGGUGCGGAGGGCAGGGACAGGCAGAGCCGGCUGAGCCGCUUCCCACGCGGAGACGCCUUCCGUGGCGGCCGCAGGCUGGAGGCAGCGGUGAGGGGCCACGGGGGGUUUCUCUCUGCCUUCUUCCUCUGUGUUCACCCUCCACUGGUGAGAGCUGGGUAUGGUGGCGGUGGAGGGGGGGGGGUCUGGCUGCUGAACCCCCCCUCGGUUGGAAUUUAGCUGGAGAUCAGCGGGAUGUGUCUGGGGUGCACGAUGCCUUGUUUGCACAGGUGGACCCCCCCCCCUCCCCAGCCCACCCACACCGUGGUGGUCUCCUGGAGCCCAGGCAAACCGCCUCUGCCCCACCAUGACACCCCCAGACUUGGGCGGUGCUGGGGCUGCUGGGGGCAUUUCCCUCCUUGUGUGUUUGGGUUUUGCAAGCCAUGGCUGGGUAGGGGGGGCUCAGAGACACCCCCCCAGCUAGCAGAGGAUGCUGGUGCUCGGUGGGUGUUUGCAACUCCCUCCCAGUUCUUCUGCCACCACCUUCUGCUCCUUUCUCCCUCUUCCUUCUUCCUCACUCUCCUGCCCAAUUUUAAGGACAAAAGGACACCCACAGGCAGCCCUGUGCCCUGCUACCCACCCUCCCGAAGACUUGGAGUUCUCCAUCCCUCUAUCUUUGUGCAGCGCCUGGCGCGUGGUCCCUGCUCCGAAGGAGGCGAGGGAGUCCCAUGGCAAAGGGAGGUGACGCUGUCACAUCAGAUGACAUCUCUCGGGAGGAUGCUGGAGGCAGUAGCAUCGUUGCCCUCGGGGCUGAUCCAGACAUGAUGGCAUGGCGUGCUCUGCUCCGGCUCUGCUUGCCUUCGGUCCCUGGCGUGGAGCUGCAGGGAAGGUGGCUGAUGUCAGGGAAAUCAUGGCUAACUGUUCUUCCCAGCGCUCUGGCCUCUCUUCCUCCACAUGGACAAUAU